rnacentral:lncRNA from 1 species
AUGCAGGGGCAGUUCAGGAGCCUUGGUAGGUGUGUGCAGCUCAGUGUGCCGCUCUCAGGUGUCUGCCCUCCGGGGGUUUCUGCGCUGGGAGCGCCGCAGGGGCCCCGCCUGGCCGCUCCUCUGGGCUGGGGACUCCACCUUCCACUCCCUGGGCCGGCAGGGGCUGCAGGAAGGAAGCACAACAGCCCUGCAUGUCCAAACCCUCGGCCAGCCCUUCUGCAGCGCCUGCUCCAGCCCCUCUCUGGCUCCCAGCACUGCCUGCUCCAACCUCUCAGCCUGCAAUGGAUCUUCCAGCCUCUCUCCCUGCCUGUUCCGGCCCUCUGUCUCCGAGCAGUGGCUGCUCCAGCCCCUCUGCCUGCAGUGGAUCUUCCAGCCCCUCUCUGCCUGUUCCAUCCUCUUUCUGCCUGCUCCAGCCCCUCUUUCUGCUUGCAGUGACUGCUCCAGCCCCUCUCUGCCUGCAAUGGAUCUUCCAGCCCGUCCCUGCCUGCAGUGACUGCUCCAGCCCUCUCUCUGCCUGUUCCAUUCUCCUUCUGCCUGCUAGAGCCCCUCUCUCUUCCUGCUCCAACCUCCCUCCCUGCAUUGGUUGCUCCAGCUCCUCUCUCUGCCUGCAGUGAGUGUACCAGCUCCUCUUUCUGCCUGCAGUGCCUGCUCUGGCUUCUCCCUCUGCCUGCAGUGGCUGUUUCAGCCCCUCUUUGCCAGCAGUGCCUGCUCCAGCCCCUCUCUUUCUCUGCAGUGCCUGCUCCAGUGUUUCUUUCUGCCUGCAGUGCCUGUUCCAGCUUCUCUCUCUGCCUGCUCCAGUCCCUCUCUCUCUCCUAGCAGUGGAUGUUCCAGCCUCUCCCUGCCUGGUCCAUCCUCUCUUUCUGCCUGCUCCAGCCCCUCUCUCUCCCUGCAUUGGAUCUUCCAGCCCCUUUCUCCCUGCAGUGGCUGCUCCAGCCCCUCUCUCUCUGCCUGCAGUGGAUGUUCCAGCCUUUCUUCAUUCCUGCAGUGGCUGCUCCAGCCCCUCUCUCUCCCUGCCUGCUCCAGCCCCUCUCUUUCUCCCAGCACUGCCAGCCCCAGCCCCGUGCUGCACUCACGGUUUCUCCGGCGACGUCAAACAGAUGAUAUCCCUUGGUCCAUCCUCAGCCUCUUUCUUCACUGCAAACAAUACAGAUGUUUUCGUAUUUUACAAAAUGCCACAGAGUUUGGUCAUUUGGGGGUGGUUUCAUUUCCCCCUCCCCUCAAAUAAGAAUGCCAGAGGUGACUUGCCUGGAGCUGAAUGGGGUGUGUGCAUCAGGCUGAUGUAGCUGACCCCAGCACCAAAAGUCAACUCAUCCAUGGUCUCUGGAAAUAAAAUAAAAUAAAAAAAAUCA